UUCCUCUCCUCCAGACUAAGCAGUCCCGGAUCCUUCAGCCGCCCCCACACGAUUCGUGCUCCAGCCCCUCCGCAGCUUCACGCCUGCUCUGGACGCCGUGCUCUGCUCCACGGCCCCAACGGCCUUCUUGAAGCAGGUGGCCCAAAACUCAACGAACGCCCAUGCGGGUCUCUGGGCUCUGUCCAUUACCAUCAGUGCUUCACGCCCAGACAGUGCUUUGGGUUUCCCAGAGCUGCCCUGUUCCUCCUCCACUCGAUGUACUGGAGACGUCGUCACAGGCGUGUCAGGUAUCCCAGACGGAAUCCAAAGACUCAUUUGCAUCUGUCAGUGUAUUUGCUGAGAGCACUGCCUGAACAGUCUUCAGUUUAGAGGUAAGGAUAUGGUGUGGGACCGUGCCAGAUGCUUUGCUCGAGUCCAGGUAGAUGACGUCAGUUGUCCUUCCUUUGUCUGCUGGUGCUGCCAUUCCAUCACAGACGGCCAUCAGAUUGAUCAUGCAUGAUCUGCCACAGAUAACUGAGGAGACUUUAACAAACCUGGGUCUGAUGAAGGUCCUGCAGAGCCGCACUGUAAGCGCUCAUUUUGGGGAAGAUGUUGGCAGUUAUUCUGUGCAGUGCACGCUCUGCUGAUGGUAACCUCAAGCCUGAGGAACACUUACUACAGUAUGACAGGAAGCAGAGAUGGUUCUGCUGGAGGUCACACAACUUCAAGUAUCAGAAAAACAAACUGCAGUUAAUUACAGUUAUCCGUAGAAUGGAGCAGUAGUAGAAGAUUCAUCUGUCAGACUACAUCAUGGGUAAUGAUGCUCAGGUAUUUAAAAAGUGCAUGGGUCGUUGCCACAUACACUGACUCAGUUUUUCAAAGAGCAAUGUCUUUCUGGCAUGUGAGCACAGUAACACGGUUAAUAUGGGAUGGAAAAUGAAGCUCUUGAUUUGAUCUGGAAAUGUAUUCCCCAAAAGCAAAUUAAGAGCUGAGACUGAGGCAUGGGAAGUAAGCUGUAAAAAUCACCGUUACAUACUCCAUGUGGUUAAGCAACAUAGAGGUGGCCUAAAAUGAUUGUUAUUCUUAUUCAGAAGACUCCUGAGCACUUGAUUGUAUUCAGCAAGCUGGCAGAAGAGCUAUAAUCAGAGAUCCAAACUCUUGCAUUCACACUGAGUUCUUUCACAACUGGAAACCUCAGUCCUCCCAUUUCCAAAAUCCUGUGUUCCACUUGCAAGCACAUAACUGGAUCACAUAUUGCUGUGUCUACUUUUGUAUUCCCAUACAGAGGAGAAAGUAGGAGGGGGUGCUGAUUUGGGAGGAGCGGCAUCGGUUUAAAGCUGUAUUUAAGUCAGAUGGAACCUGGUCUCUUUUCUCCAGUGUCUCUCCAUAGCAAGGAAGUUCAGCAGCUUGCACUGCUCCAUGCUCCCUUUUUGCUUUUAGAUGAGGGAAGUGCUGUCUGGUGCUUGGGAGACACCAGCAGGGACUGUAAUAUGGAAGGUAGCACUUCAGAGCAAGGAACAAGAAUCAAAUCAGUCUUCAGUUAGAAUCCUUGCAUUACAAACAAGAGAGACUGACUUUUGCAUUGUAAUUCAGAGGCACAUUUUAUGCUGAUGAACAGAACCCCCUGAUAGCACUGCAACUUUCUGUGGAUUAUAAGACAAAUCUCCUGUUGAAGCAAUA